rnacentral:rRNA from 1 species
UACGUAGGGUGCGAGCGUUGUCCGGAAUUAUUGGGCGUAAAGGGCUCGUAGGCGGUUUGUCGCGUCGGGAGUGAAAACCUCGGGCUUAACUCGGGGCUUGCUUUCGAUACGGGCAGACUGGAGGUAUGCAGGGGAGAACGGAAUUCCUGGUGUAGCGGUGAAAUGCGCAGAUAUCAGGAGGAACACCGGUGGCGAAGGCGGUUCUCUGGGCAUGACCUGACGCUGAGACGCGAAAGCGUGGGGAGCGAACAGG